rnacentral:rRNA from 1 species
UUGAACGCUGGCGGCAUGCUUUACACAUGCCAGUCGCACGGCAGCGCGGGCUUCGGCCUGGCGGCGAGUGGCGAACGGGUGAGUAAUGCAUCGGAACGUGCCCAGUAGUGGGGGAUAGCCCGGCGAAAGCCGGAUUAAUACCGCAUACGACCUGAGGGUGAAAGCGGGGGACCGAAAGGCCUCGCGCUAUUGGAGCGGCCGAUGUCGGAUUAGCUAGUUGGUGGGGUAAAGGCUUACCAAGGCGACGAUCCGUAGCUGGUCUGAGAGGACGACCAGCCACACUGGGACUGAGACACGGCCCAGACUCCUACGGGAGGCAGCAGUGGGGAAUUUUGGACAAUGGGGGCAACCCUGAUCCAGCCAUGCCGCGUGCGGGAAGAAGGCCUUCGGGUUGUAAACCGCUUUUGUUCGGGAAGAAAUCCUCUGGGCUAAUACCCCGGGGGGAUGACGGUACCGGAAGAAUAAGCACCGGCUAACUACGUG